rnacentral:rRNA from 1 species
AAAUCACAAUGCGGGACUAUCAGUCUUGCAAUUGGAUUGAGAACAAUGUACAACUCUUAUCGAUAAGCCAUUGGAGGGCAAGUCUGGUGCCAGCAGCCGCGGUAAUUCCAGCUCCAAUAGCGUAUAUUAACGUUGUUGCAGUUAAAAAGCUCGUAGUUGAAGUGUGGGUGAUCGCUGUUGUGAGACUUCGGUCUCUCGACAGUAAGUCACCCCCUUCCAGUAUCCAGUAGUGGGUAUUCAGUUACUUACUAUUGUGUGUUGGUCGUUUACUGUGAGAAAAUUAGAGUGUUCAAAGCAGGCGUUUGCUUGAAUAGAUUAGCAUGGAAUAAUAAUUGAAGGCUUUCGUGUUCGAUUUGAUUGGUUUGUUCAUGGAAGCAAGGUUAAAAGGAACAGUUGGGGGUAUUCAUAUUCACUAGUUAGAGGUGAAAUUCUCGGAUUUAUGGAAGAU